GGAACCCGGGGCUUAGUCCAGUCCAGAGGUUGAGGAGGGCUUUGCUGAGAAGCAGGCUGCCUUGAACUCAGAGAUCCACCUGUCCCUGCCUCCCCAGUGCUGGGUUUAAAAGCGUGGGCCACCACCAGCCGGAGGAAGAUAUAUUGAGGGCGCAGGACGCAUGUAACGGAUGGAGAAGGGAAGACUGUGUCGGAGGAAGGAAAUUCACAAGAGUGACUAGAGAGAAUGCCGAAGGAUAAUGGGAAAGGGGGGGCAAAUCAACUAGAACAAAAUAUAAUCACGUGUGUGCACCGAAAUGCCAGAAUAAAACCUAUUACUUGAAAAUUAAUUAAAAAAAUUAGAAUAUAUAGCUUUCUCUGGCCAUGUAGCCAUUUGUAUUUCAACAUCGGAAGGAAAAGCAACAUUAGGUGCCUUCUUUGGUUUGGAUACGUGGGGAUUCAGGAGGCCUUACCACAUAAUAUACAGAAGUCACUCUUUGUCACAUUGGACCUCGCAUAAUCUUGACCUUUCGCCUCCAUACCACUGACACCUCUCACAGUAUUUUACAGUGAUGCUUCAGUACAGCAAGGGUGAGAGUUUGGCCUGGCUGCUGAGCCACCAUGCUGACCGUAACAACAAAUAUGGAGACAGUCCAGGUGGCUGGUCGGUGGUCACUCAGAGUAAGGUGGACCCGAAGAUAAGAUUGCUUUGAGGAGAAUGGCCGCCAGAUUAAAGGGACAUAGCUCCUGGAUUCCUGAAG
rnacentral:lncRNA from 1 species